ensembl:piRNA 21ur-15032 ncRNA
UCCUUUUUUGCUUUCGUGGAA